rnacentral:tRNA from 1 species
UAUCUCAAUGGUAGAGUGCCUGCCUAGCACGCAUGAGGCCCUGGGUUCAAUCCCCAG